rnacentral:lncRNA from 1 species
AAAAAAGAGACAUUUUAAUUGGAUAAUAAAGUCAUACGAGGGACGAGUAAGGCCCCAAAGCAAUACAUUCUUGGCCAGUCAUGGACUGUUCAAGACACUGACUCAGAGCUCUGGGCCAAACCUCUGUCUUGAAUAUAUUUUAAUUAAGAUAUAAUGAAAUAUAUUUAAUUAAAAUGAAAAUGAAAAUUUAAACAUUUUUUAAAAAUUUAUUUUUAAAAACAUUUUUGUCUUUUUUUAGGGCCGCACCUAUGGCAUAUGGAGGUUCCCAGGUGCAGCCCUAAAAAGAAAAAAAAGGAAAAAAAAAAAAGAAAAAGAGGGGUCUUGCAGAGACCACUGAUGAUGUGCCUUGAAUGGAAAAGGUUUCAUGAUAGAACUCAGAAGAAAAAGACACUGGGGUUCCCAUCGUGGCUCAGCGAGUUAAGAACCUGACCAGUAUCUGUGAGGAUAUGGGCUUGAUCCCUGGCCUCUCUUAGUGGGUUAGGGAUCUGGCAUCGACAUAGCUGCAGUGUAGGUCACAGAUGUGGCUCUGAUCUGGCGUUGCUGUGGCCGUGGCGUAGGCCAGCAGCUGAAGCUCUGAUUCGACUCCUAGCCUGGGCACUUCCAUAUGCUGCAGGUGCAGCCCUAAGAAGAAAAAAAAAGUCCAGCAUCCACUGAGAAUGUGUUUCCAUACAAAGUCUGCGCACACCUGAAGGACGAAGAGGGAGCACGCAGGCGUGGGAAGGAGAGCUGCAGUGCGGUAGAUGACAGCCUCAGGGCUCCGAAUACUCUUCACAAUUCUUCUUAACCUCCUUAGUAGCCCCUGGCCACCCUCGACUCUAUCGAUCCAGCCCUCAGGCGUCUAUGCAGACUGGGGCGUCCACUGCGCACUUCUCUGCCCUCUGUCUGGCGAAUUCCCACACUUCGUUACAACUCAGCUUAAACACUGCCCCCCCACCUCACCCCCCGGCAGGAGGCAUCCCCCUGCCUCCCAGAGCUGAUUCACUGCCUUUUCUUAUCUUUCCCAGACAACCAGUGAUGGCUCGAGCUGAGCUGCUUCCACACUAGUCUCUUCUUAGAAGCACAGCCUUUCAGGGAGUGGAGAGAAACACUGGGGCCGUGCCAGCCAAGGGAGGAAAGUCUGGCCUGGGAGAGGGGAGAGCUGGGGUGGACUGGACAGUGAAGGGGGUGAGGCCCCUGGGUGAUUUUUGCCUUGGCUUUCCCUUUCAAUUCCCUAGCCCAGCCCUGCCAAGCCAACCAAUUCUGUCAAAUCUUAUUUCUCAGGUGCCUGUGAUCCCAAGACACCGUGGUGCGGGAUUGCAACGCCACGGCCAUUCUUUGAGUGUUGGACCCAGGCAGGGAGGGAAGGCUUGGAUGUGAGCAAUGUCAGAUAACAGUGGCAGAAUAGAGUGAAAGACAGCAGAACAGGACAGCAGAAAAGGGAUGGCCUGUGGGCACUGAAUGGUCUGGGUGCAGGGGGCAGGUGCCUGCAGGGGCUGCAAAGGGAAGUCCUCUGAGAACCGGCCCAAUGUCCAGGAGGAUGCAGGCUGGAUGGGGAAGGGGGACUGCAUGCGAACGGUCCACGAGGAGCCCCCGGAUUGGAGGCCAGAACAGAAGAAAACAUCAGGGAGUCUGGGAGGGUUAUCAGGGCCAGAAUUUUGAGGCCCUCGCAAGCCAGGCAGAGGGACAGUGCUGGGAAAACGGCGGUGAGAAAUGCAGAAAGCCGCGCAGCUGAUGAGAGGUGUUUAGGGGGAAAUGGGUCUGGGGGCGGCCCUUCGGGAGGCUGAGGCAAAGAACCCAGUUAGUAAACUCCUCCGAAAUCACAGCCGGGCAGGAGGCACAUGGUACUAGAGUCUCACGUCGUGUCCCCCUCCACCCCAGUCAGCACGACUGACAUCAGCAGCUCACUGGAGCACACUUGCCCGACUCCAGGUGCAACUCCAGAGGGUUUUUUAGGCCACUCUGGGCUCCUGGCAGCCCCUACCGAUCCAUCCAGGGUGAUGGGUCAAAUCUCCCCGCCUUGCGGGUUCGAUCAGUCAGGCGAUGUUAUGGGGAACUGACACGCAUCCUCAAAUUCCAGUGGCUUAAAGCGGUGAAGGUUCAUCGCUCAUUCAGGCUACCUGUCCAUCACAGUUGACCAGAGAUGGCUGUCAGUGCCAGCACCGUCCAGACAGACUGACAGGGCAGCCCCUUCACAGGGCACUGCUGGCCACCAAGGCAGGGGAGAGAGAGAGAUACAUCUUUGGAAGGUCUCUCACUAGCGUUUCAUAUGAAAGCCUGAAAAGGCAUAUCCCUCUGUAUGCCACUCAUUGGCCAGAACUGGUCACAGCAGGCAAGGCCGUGGAAUCUUAAUCUCCAAAAGGCAGAGAGUUAGAAAAAAUAAAAGAAAGGCCUGGAGUUCACAUUGUGGUUCAGCAGGUUAAAAACACGACUGGUAUCCAUGAGGAUGCGGGUUUGAUCCCUGGCCUUGC